UGCACGUCGACGCCCCGCAUGGGGAGUGGCAGACGGGUGAGUAACGCGUGGUAACAUACCCUUUCCUGCGGAAUAGCUCCGGGAAACUGGAAUUAAUACCGCAUACGCCCUACGGGGGAAAGAUUUAUCGGGGAAGGAUUGGCCCGCGUUGGAUUAGCUAGUUGGUGGGGUAAAGGCCUACCAAGGCGACGAUCCAUAGCUGGUCUGAGAGGAUGAUCAGCCACAUUGGGACUGAGACACGGCCCAAACUCCUACGGGAGGCAGCAGUGGGGAAUAUUGGACAAUGGGCGCAAGCCUGAUCCAGCCAUGCCGCGUGAGUGAUGAAGGCCUUAGGGUUGUAAAGCUCUUUCACCGGAGAAGAUAAUGACGGUAUCCGGAGAAGAAGCCCCGGCUAACUUCGUGCCAGCAGCCGCGGUAAUACGAAGGGGGCUAGCGUUGUUCGGAAUUACUGGGCGUAAAGCGCACUUAGGCGGAUAUUUAAGUCAGGGGUGAAAUCCCAGAGCUCAACUCUGGAACUGCCUUUGAUACUGGGUAUCUUGAGUAUGGAAGA
rnacentral:rRNA from 1 species